ACUAACCCUAGCCCUACAACCAACCAACAUAACUAAACCCCCACAUAAACUAAAACAUUUAACUCAAAAAGUAUUGGAGAAAGAAAUUUACUUACCAAGAGCUAUAGAGAAAGUACCGCAAGGGAAAUGAUGAAAGACUAAUUUAAAGUAAAAACAAGACAAAGAUUAAACCUGUACCUUUUGCAUAAUGAAUUAACUAGAAAAUCCUUAACAAAAAGAAUUUAAGCUAAGAACCCCGAAACCAAACGAGCUACCUAAAAACAAUUUCAUGAAUCAACCCGUCUAUGUAGCAAAAUAGUGGGAAGAUUUUUAGGUAGAGGUGAAAAGCCUAUCGAGCUUGGUGAUAGCUGGUUGCCCAAAAAAGAAUUUCAGUUCAAACUUUAAGCUUCCAUCAGAACAACAAAUCAAAAUGUAAACUUAAAAUAUAGCCAAAAGAGGGACAGCUCUUUAGGAAACGGAAAAAACCUUAAAUAGUGAAUAAACAACUACAAUCACUUAACCAUUGUAGGCUUAAAAGCAAGCCAUCAAUAAAGAAAGCGUCAAGCCACAUCAUCUUACACACACACUAAUUCCACAAACCUCAAAAAUUCCAAAAUUACAAAUUGGGCUAAAUCUAUGAUCCUAGUGAAUACUGUUAAUAUGUGAACAAGAACCAAUCCACCAAGCACAAGUGCUAAGACAACCGGAUAACCAUUGUUAAUUAUUGAAUCAUAGGCAUAACCCAACAAUAGAAUUACCUAUCCCUAACUCGUUAGCCCAACACAGGCGUGCUUUAAGGAAAGUUUAAAAAAGUAAAGGAACUCGGCAAACACGAACCCCGCCUGUUUACCAAAAACAUCUCCUCUAGCAUAACAAGUAUUAGUGGCAUCGCCUGCCCAGUGACUAAAGUUCCACGGCCGCGGUAUCCCGACCGUGCAAAGGUAGGAUAAUCACUUGUUCCUUAAUUAGGGACUAGAAUGAAUGGCUAAACGAGGGUCCAACCGUCUCUUACUUGCAAUCAGUGAAAUUGACCUUCCAGUGAAGGGGCGGACUCAUAAUAAAAGACGAGAAGACCCUAUGGAGCUUUAAUUUACUAAUUUCAAUUUAUAUAAAAAAACCUAAUGGGCGAAAACAACAAAAUUAUGAACUACCAAAUUUCGGUUGGGGUGACCUCGGAGAAUAAAAAAUCCUCCGAAUGAUUAUAACCGAGUCGGUAACCGUGUCCGACCCAGUCAAGUAAUACUAAUAUCUUAUUGACCCAAUUAUUGAUCAACGGACCAAGUUACCCUAGGGUAACAGCGCGACCUAUUUAAGAGUUCAUAUCGACAAUUAGGGUUUACGACCUCGAUGUUGGAUCAGGACAUCCCAAUGGUGCAGAAGCUAUUAAUGGUUCGUUUGUUCAACGAUUAAAGUCCUACGUGAUCUAAGUCCGGCAAUCCAGGUCGGUUUCUAUCUAUUUACAAUUUCUCCCAGUUACGAAAGGACAAGAGAAAUGGAGACCAACCAAUCCUAGGCUUCCAACCAAUUUAGAAAAACUUAAUAAAGUAUAUAUGUACAAUAAAUAACCUUAGACCCAAGUU
rnacentral:rRNA from 1 species